GAUGAACGCUGGCGGCGUGCCUAAUACAUGCAAGUCGAGCGAACAGAUGAGGAGCUUGUUCCACUGACGUUUGCGGCGGACGGGUGAGUAAUAUGUGGAUACCCUCCUACUAAGACUGGGAUAACUUCGGGAAAACGGCGAUAAUCCCGUAUAAUAUAUUGACCUGCAUGGUUCAAUAGAGAACGACGGUUUUGAUGUCACUUCUAUAUGGAUUCGCGUCGCAUUAGCUAGUUGGUAAGGUAACGGCUUACCAAGGUAACGAUGCGUAGGCGAUCUGAGGGGGUGAUCGGCCACACGGCAACUGAGAUACGGUCCAGACUCCGACGGGAGGCAGCAUCAGAGAAUCUUCCGCAAUGGGCGGUAGGCUAACGGGGCAAAGCCGCGUGAGUGAUGAAGGGCUUCGGAUCGUAGAACUCUGUUAUUAUGGAAGAAUAAAUGUGUAUUAUAAUAUGCGCGUCUUGACGGUACCUAAUGAGAAAGCCACGGCUAACUACGUG
rnacentral:rRNA from 1 species